UCAGUUUCUCAGACUACACGAUUACCA
rnacentral:piRNA from 1 species